rnacentral:rRNA from 1 species
AGUAACGCGUGGGUAACCUGCCCUUAAGUCUGGGAUACCAUUUGGAAACAGAUGCUAAUACCGGAUAAAAGCUACUUUCGCAUGAAAGAAGUUUAAAAGGCGGCGUAAGCUGUCGCUAAAGGAUGGACCUGCGAUGCAUUAGCUAGUUGGUAAGGUAACGGCUUACCAAGGCGAUGAUGCAUAGCCGAGUUGAGAGACUGAUCGGCCACAUUGGGACUGAGACACAGCCCAAACUCCUACGGGAGGCAGCAGUC